rnacentral:rRNA from 15 species
GCCGCCUCCUAAAGAGUAACGGAGGCGCGCGAUGGUAAGCUCAAGCCGGUCGGACAUCGGCUGUUGAGUGCAAUGGCAUAAGCUUGCCUGACUGUGAGGUCGACGGACCGAGCAGAGACGAAAGUCGGUCAUAGUGAUCCGGUGGUCCCGAGUGGAAGGGCCAUCGCUCAACGGAUAAAAGGUACUCCGGGGAUAACAGGCUGAUGAUGCCCAAGAGUCCAUAUCGACGGCAUCGUUUGGCACCUCGAUGUCGGCUCAUCUCAUCCUGGGGCUGGAGCAGGUCCCAAGGGUACGGCUGUUCGCCGUUUAAAGAGGUACGUGAGCUGGGUUUAGAACGUCGUGAGACAGUUCGGUCCCUAUCUGCCGUGGGUGUAGGAUACUUGAGAGGAGUUGCCCCUAGUACGAGAGGACCGGGGUGAACGUUCCACUGGUGGACCAGUUGUCAUGCCAAUGGCAGUGCUGGGUAGCUAUGAACGGACAGGAUAACCGCUGAAGGCAUCUAAGCGGGAAGCCCCCCUCAAAACAAGGUAUCCCUGAGGGCCGAGGUAGACCACCUCGUCGAUAGGCCAGAGAUGUAAGCGCAGCAAUGCGUUCAGUUGACUGGUACUAAUUGUUCGCAAGGU